AUUGAACGCUAGCGGGAUGCUUUACACAUGCAAGUCGAACGGAGUGGCGAACGGGUGAGUAUUGUAUCGGAACGUGCCCAGUAGCGGGGGAUCACUCCGCGAACGCGUAGCUAAUACCGCCUACUAUUGGAGCGGCCGAUAUCGGCUUAGCUAUUUGGUGGGGUAACGGCGCACCACGGCGACGAUCCGUAGCUGGUUUGAGAGGAAGACCAGCCACACUGGGACUGGGACACGGCCCAGACUCCUACGGGAGGCAGCAGUGGGGAAUUUUGGACAAUGGGCGAAACCCUGAUCCAGCCAUGCCGCGUGUGCGAUGAAGGCCUUCGGGUUGUAAAGCACUUUUGGCAGGAAAGCGGUACCUGCAGAAUAAGCACCGGCUAACUACGUGCCAGCAGCCGCGGUAAUUC
rnacentral:rRNA from 1 species